rnacentral:ribozyme from 13 species
GCGAGAGAGAGGGGGCAUAUUGGUUUUCUUUUUUUUUGUGUGUCUAUUUUUGUAUCUCUCUUUCUCUAUCGCUGUGUAAUGUGUGAA